rnacentral:tRNA from 1 species
GAUUGCCUGGCGAACGAGGCGACGUUCGCCUUGGCCAGGCGGAUGGCGCGCUUGGUCUUGGGCCGGGUGGCGUUCCAGGCCUCGGCCAAGCGC